GACGAACGCUGGCGGCGUGCCUAAUACAUGCAAGUAGAACGCUGAAGAGAGGAGCUUGCUCUUCUUGGAUGAGUUGCGAACGGGUGAGUAACGCGUAGGUAACCUGCCUUGUAGCGGGGGAUAACUAUUGGAAACGAUAGCUAAUACCGCAUAACAAUGGAUGACACAUGUCAUUUAUUUGAAAGGGGCAAUUGCUCCACUACAAGAUGGACCUGCGUUGUAUUAGUUAGUAGGUGAGGUAAUGGCUCACCUAGGCGACGAUACAUAGCCGACCUGAGAGGGUGAUCGGCCACACUGGGACUGAGACACGGCCCAGACUCCUACGGGAGGCAGCAGUAGGGAAUCUUCGGCCAUCGGUGCAACCCUGACCGAGAAACGCCGCGUGAGGAAAGAAGGUUUUCGCAUCGUAAAUCUCGGUUUUAAGUCAAUAACGGGUUUGAGAGUGUAAAGUUCACACUGUGACGGUAGCUUAACAGAAAGGGACGGCUAACUACGUG
rnacentral:rRNA from 1 species